rnacentral:tRNA from 1 species
AAAAUAAUCGUAAGGUUUUUCUCCCCCCCAAAAAGAUAGGGGGGGGGACUGGCUUUCAAAUUCGGGGAAAUUUGGGUUGAAAAAAAAAAAAGCUUUCCUGGGCCAAAUUUUUUUUUUUAAAAAAAAAAUGGGGGCGGGGCCUGGAGGGAAGCUUUCCAACGCAAAAAAUUUUAAGGGUUUUUUAAUUGAAUUUUUUAAGGUUAAGGAAAAAAAAAAAAAAUUUAUGAAUUUUUUUUUACUAGCAAGCGGGGAUAAAGAUAGGGUCCAAUUUUACAUGUUAAUUAGCCACAAUUUAAUUGAGUAAAAGAAAUCCGUUGGCUUAUUGCCGUGGGGGUUCAGUCCCACACUCC